UGGCUUUGCUCACCUGAGGGACUGUCACCAAAGUUAACUUUUUUUUCCUUCUUCAACUUUUGUCUACAAAAGAAAACGAUUUCUCCACUCACCACCCUUCUGACACCAAAUAUGUGGGUUUUUUACACCAAACAAUUCUCCAAUAUUCUGAGAACACUGGCUGAAUGUCCUGUAAUUUAACUGAAUUCUGACCCUGCCCAGAAUCAGUGCAGACCCCACAGAUUAAAGAGCUUGGUCACCUAAGACUGACUCUCCUUCAGAUGCCACGUGUAAGAGACACGGCCUUUCAGGAGGGCCUGCAGAGGCAAACAAGUCUAAGAUUCACGACAUCUCCAAUUCCUUGACACAUGGGAAAAUAGCAGGAACCCAGUGAUGUGGAGGUGGGAGAAGAAGCUUGGAGCAAUUCUAAAUACAGUUCUUCUGAAACUACUGAUAAUUAAGGUUUCUGCAGUGCUUGUCAGGAUGGAGGCACUCCUCACCCUCGCCAUCACCAAAACAAAACCCCCAGUGAACCAACCACCAUGUUUCUUCCGAGAGAAAAUCUGUGACAUUGUCCCUGCUUUUCUUCCCACGUGCGGUCUGUGCUGUGAAAGCGACAGAGAGAGGCCCAGAGCUCAUUUGUUUAUUUUCAAAUU